rnacentral:ncRNA from 1 species
UAUAUAAAGUACUUCAAAGCUUUUAAUAAUUUAAAAUAUUUACUGGUAUUUAUCUUAAGAAGGGGUAUUUCUUUGAUAAUUAUUUUUUUUAUUUAUCUUAAGAAGGGGUAUUUCUUUGAUAAUUAUUUUUUUAUUUAUCUUAAGAAGGGGUAUUUCUUUGAUAAUUAUUUUUUUAUUUAUAUUUGCAAUUAAAUUUUUUAAAAUGAAGGCAAAUUUAAUACUUGCAUUUUAUAUUCUAUCAUAAUAUUCCUUUGUAUAGUUGAUAAAAUUUGUGCCAGCAAUUGCGGUUAAACAGAUAGCUAAAGUAAUUUUUUUUUAAUUGUAAUUAGUUUUAUUGUAAAUUAUAUUGAUAUAAGAAUUAUUAAGUGAAAUUUUAAUUUUUAAUUAAUUUUAUUUUAUAUUUUAAAUGAUUUAUUAAAGUUUAAUUUUAAACUAGAAUUAGAUACUCUAUUAUUUUUACUGUAUUUUUUUUUAAAUAAGUAUUAGUUAUUUUCUUUAAAGUUAAAUUUUUUGGCGGUAUUUUAGUCUCUUCAGAGGAACUUGUCCUGUUAUUGAUAGUCCACGUUUAUAUUCACUUUUGUUUUUCUUAAAUAUCGUUGUUUAGGAAUUUUUUUUAAGAAUUUAAAUUUUCAUUUUUUUUUUAUAUAAGUUUAUUUCAGAUCAAGAUUUAGAUGUAUAGGAGUAGAGAUGAGUUACAUUAAAUUUAUUUAUGGUUUUAAUUUUUUAUAAGGUUAGAUAAACUGGAUUUGUUAGUAAUUUAUAAAUUUUAUUAUUUUUGAUUUGUAGCUCUAGAAUAUGUACAUAUUGCCCGUCACUUUCAUUAAAAUGAAAAAAGUCGUAACAUAGUAGAUGUACUGGAAAGUGUAUCUAGAAAGA